rnacentral:rRNA from 1 species
UACAGAGGGGGCAAGCGUUAUUCGGAAUUAUUGGGCGUAAAGGGCGCGUAGGCGGCUUUUCAAGUGGCGGGUGAAAUCCCUCGGCUUAACCGAGGAACUGCCUGCCAGACUGGAAGGCUUGAGACCGGGAGAGGUGAGUGGAAUUCCCAGUGUAGCGGUGAAAUGCGCAGAGAUCAGGAGGAACACCCGUAGCGAAGGCGGCACUCUGGGCCGAUACUGACACUGAGGAGCGAAAGCGUGGGGAGCGAACAGG